rnacentral:tRNA from 1 species
GCGGAUAUUGCAUAAUGGUAGUGCCUUAGUCUUCCAAACUAACGGCGCGGGUUCGAUUCCCGCUAUCCGCU